GUAGGGUGCAAGCGUUAAUCGGAAUUACUGGGCGUAAAGCGUGCGCAGGCGGUGAUGUAAGACAGUUGUGAAAUCCCCGGGCUCAACCUGGGAACUGCAUCUGUGACUGCAUUGCUGGAGUGCGGCAGAGGGGGAUGGAAUUCCGCGUGUAGCAGUGAAAUGCGUAGAUAUGCGGAGGAACACCGAUGGCGAAGGCAAUCCCCUGGGCCUGCACUGACGCUCAUGCACGAAAGCGUGGGGAGCAAACAGGAUUAGAUACCCUGGUAGUCCACGCCCUAAACGAUGUCAACUGGUUGUUGGGUCUUCACUGACUCAGUAACGAAGCUAACGCGUGAAGUUGACCGCCUGGGGAGUACGGCCGCAAGGUUG
rnacentral:rRNA from 1 species